GCUGGGCAUGGUGACACAUGCCUGUAAUCUUCACAAUUUGGGAGGCUGAGGCAGAAGGAUUACAGAUGCAAGACCAGCUUCAGCAAUUUAGUGAUACUCUGUCUCAA
rnacentral:sRNA from 1 species